UACGGGGGGGGGCAAGCGUUGUUCGGAAUUACUGGGCGUAAAGGGCUCGUAGGUGGCCAACUAAGUCAGACGUGAAAUCCCUCGGCUUAACCGGGGAACUGCGUCUGAUACUGGAUGGCUAGAGAUUGGGAGAGGGAUGCGGAAUUCCAGGUGUAGCGGUGAAAUGCGUAGAUAUCUGGAGGAACACCGGUGGCGAAGGCGGGUCUCUGGGCAGUAACUGACGCUGAGGAGCGAAAGCGUGGGGAGCGAACAGG
rnacentral:rRNA from 1 species